rnacentral:rRNA from 1 species
AAUGAUUUAUACCACAUGUGACCAAGUUGGCCUAAAAGCAGCCACCUUAUAAAAAGCGUCCAAGCUUUAUCACAAACCCUCACUAAUCCCAAGAUUAACCCUCAACCCCCAACCACUACUGAAUCUCCCUAUACGCAUAUAGGCAAUAUUAUGCUAGAACUAGUAAAAAGAAGAAGACCUUCUCCGAAAUGUAAACGUAAGCCAAAAUGAACCCUCACCGGCAAUUACCGCCAUAAACCUGCAGUAUUAACAUCACAUGAGAACCAUACUCCAAUUGGCGUCAACCUUACACCAGAGCAUUCCCGGAAAGAUUAAAAGGGAGGGAAGGAACUCG